rnacentral:rRNA from 1 species
UGGCCUUGACAUGCUUAGUUCAAGCGUGGAAACACGCUGGCCCGCAAGGGCGAUUUGCACAGGUGCUGCAUGGCUGUCGUCAGCUCGUGUCGUGAGAUGUUGGGUUAAGUCCCGCAACGAGCGCAACCCUCGUGGUUAGUUAUUCCCGGGCAACCGGAAUCUGACCAGACUGCCCUGUGAAACGGGGAGGAAGGUGGGGACGACGUCAAGUCCGUAUGGCCCUUACGGCCAGGGCUGCACACGUACUACAAUGCCCAAUACAGAGGGACGCAAGACCGCAAGGUGGAGCUAAUCCCGUAAAGUUGGGCCCAGUUCGGAUUGGAGGCUGCAACUCGCCUCCAUGAAGUUGGAAUCGCUAGUAAUGGCGCAUCAGUACGGCGCCGGAA